GGUUAUUUUAAUACUAGAAGGUCCUGCUAGGCCAUGAAGAUCCCAAUGGUCAUCCUGAUGUCCUUCCUGCACACAUUGAAACUGGGAUUUGAGCACAAAAAUCCAAAUUUGGGGGUUAUUUUAUGAAGAUCCUGAUGGCCAUCGUGAUCUCCUUUCUGCACACCUUGAAAUUGGGAUUUGAGUGCAAAAAUUCCAGAUUUUGGGGUUAUUUUAUGAAGAUCCUGAUGACUGUCGUGAUCUCCUCUCUGCACACACUGAAAUUGGGAUUUGAAUGCAAAAAUCCAAAUUUUGGGGGUUAUUUUAUGAAGAUCCUAAUGGCCAUCAUGAUCUUCUUUUUGCACACACUGAAAUUGGGAUUUGAGUGCAAAAAUUCCAGAUUUUGGGGUUAUGAAGAUCUUGAUGACCAUCGUGAUCUCCUUUCUGCACACACCAAAAUUGGGAUUUGAGUGCAAAAAUCCAAAUUUUGGGGUUACUUUCGGGGCCCUACCCCAUGAAGAUCCUGAUGACCAUCUUGAUCUCCUUCCUGCACUUGCUGUAAUGGGGAUUUGAGUGCAAAAAUCCAGAUUUUGGGGUUACUUUCGGGGCCCUACCCCAUGAAGAUCCUGAUGACCAUCUUGAUCUCCUUCCUGCACACGGGACACGGCGAUCUCUUCUUCUU
rnacentral:lncRNA from 1 species